CGGGCCGUCAUAUACCGGUAGUAUGCGUGCUUUGGGAGCACGUCGACCGGGUUCGAUUCCCGGCGGCCCGA
rnacentral:tRNA from 1 species